GUGGAUUAGAUACCCCAGUAGUCCACGCUGUAAACGAUGAGCACUAGAUAUUAUGGGAUUUGACCCCCGUAGUGUCGUAGCUAACGCGUUAAGUGCUCCGCCUGGGAAGUACGGUCGCAAGACUAAAACUCAAAGGAAUUGACGGGGGCCCGCACAAGCGGUGGAUUAUGUGGUUUAAUUCGAAGCAACGCGCAGAACCUUACCUGGGCUUGAAAUCCUACGAACCUGGCUUAAACGCUGGGGUGUCCUUCGGGAAAUGUAGUGACAGGCGCUGCACGGCUGUCGUCAGCU
rnacentral:rRNA from 1 species